AACGCACAUUGCGCCCGCCAGCACUCUGGCGGGCAUGCCUGUCCGAGCGUCAUUUCAACCCUCGAGCACCGCUCGGCGUUGGGGGAGCGGCCGCGCGCCGCCCCCCGAAAUGCAGUGGCGACACCGCCGCGUCCUCCCCUGCGCAGUAGCUCCACAGAGAAACCUCGCACCGGCGGCGCGGCGGCGGUCACGCCGUGAAACGUCCACCUAGAGUUGACCUCGGAUCAGGUAGGGAUACCCGCUGAACUUAA
rnacentral:misc_RNA from 1 species